UACGUAGGUGGCUAGCGUUGUCCGGAUUUAUUGGGCGUAAAGAGCUCGUAGGCGGCUUGUCGCGUCGUCCGUGAAAACUUGGGGCUCAACCCCAAGCUUGCGGUCGAUACGGGCAGGCUAGAGUUCGGUAGGGGAGACUGGAAUUCCUGGUGUAGCGGUGAAAUGCGCAGAUAUCAGGAGGAACACCGGUGGCGAAGGCGGGUCUCUGGGCCGAUACUGACGCUGAGGAGCGAAAGCGUGGGGAGCGAACAGG
rnacentral:rRNA from 1 species